CCUACGGGUGGCAGCAGUGGGGAAUAUUGCGCAAUGGGCGAAAGCCUGACGCAGCGACGCCGCGUGAGGGAUGAAGGUCUUCGGAUCGUAAACCUCUGUCAGCAGGGAAGAACGGUCACUGUGCUAAGCAGCAGUGAAUUGACGGUACCGGCAAAGGAAGCACCGGCUAACUCCGUGCCAGCAGCCGCGGUAAUACGGAGGGUGCGAGCGUUAAUCGGAAUUACGGGGCGUAAAGCGCUCGUAGGCGGUAUGGCAAGUCAAGGGUGAAAUCCCCGCGCGCAACGUGGGAACUGCCUUUGAAACUGGCAAACUGGCGUGUGUGAGAGGCUAGUGGACUUCCAGGUGU
rnacentral:rRNA from 1 species